rnacentral:lncRNA from 1 species
GCGGUGGAAGUGGCCUAGACUGUGCUGGGAAGUGGCCAUUGACUAUGCUUCUUCCCUCUUUCAAGGAUGUGGCUUUGGACACGGYCCUGGCAAGUUCCCGCAUUGCUCCGUUGGGAUGGGAGGACGGUGAGACGUGGACGCCCAAGCCCCGUGUUCCCGAGGGACGUUAUCCCCACCGCCGGAUCCUGUCCUGGGCUGGAGCAGUUGCUGGAGAUGAAGGUGGGAGACCAGACACCUGGAUGCUGGAGGGAAUCCGGGAGCUGGACGAGCAGAAGCAACGUCACCGAGAGCAGCGUCCUUGAGGAAUAAAGCGCAGUGUUGAGCUGCUGCGAGAGCUGAGGCCCUCACCCCGCACCCGGGGCGUCUGACCUGUGUUUUGCCCUAAAACCAUGGAAAAAUGGGCUAAUCCAGGCAUCAGGAAUGGGGACUGCAGGUCUGGCUCCUCCCAGCUGAGGGCUCUCUCAUGCCUUUCGGAGCCCGGUGUUAUUUUCCUGGCUGCCAACCAGGGGAGGACGGAGUCCCAGCUGAGCUCUUUCCUCUGGGUCCAGGCAGGUGUCUCCCAGCUCUGGGGAGGAACGCGGAUUCGGACCCGARGGGCUGCUCGGGCGCUUCCCAGAUGUGCUACCUGGAGGCGGCGGUGGCCGACCUGCAAAGUCCGCCCGCCGUCCCCUUCUCCUUCCCCUUUUUGCUCCGGGCUCCAUCUCCCCUUGUGACAAAGGGACGAUCCGGGCUGCGGAGCCGCCGAGCCGCCCCGGCCCCGGAGAUGGCUGCGGCCGAGCCUGCCCAGGUAGGGACCGCCCGGCCGCGGGGGGGGCCCGGACCUGCUCGGGGGGGGGCACAGCCUGGAGCUUUCGUUCGUUAUUUAAUUCUUUUCCAGGUGCCCGAGGCUUUCGAAGAGGUGAUCGUCCUCGCCGCUGAUGCGCGCUGGGCUCUCCCGGACCCUGGGCAGCGAAACCACCCGGCUGCGCCUGCAGGUAGGGAACGGCUCCGCCACGCUUGGGGCAUCUUCCGCCUUUCCCCAGCCACUGCAAGAAAAGGCUCG